CAUAAAUUCCUAACUCUUAAAUAGAUUAUUCUUGCUCAAUCAAACUCAUGUUCAUAUAAAAUUCAUUAAUCAAACAAAAUUAUCCAAUAAUCCAUUUUUAUCCAUUCAAAUUCAUCAAACCAAUUGGGCAAAGGUUGAAGCUCAACAAUGACUAUAAAUAGCCAUGUUUAUCCCCUCAAACCAUUCACUCAAACCACUUGAGUCUUCGCCGGAAAACACCACCCAAAACACCCCUCAAAUCCCCUGUUUUUUUUUCUUUCGCAAUUCUCUCUCUCCUCUGUUUUUCGAACCAACACCACCGCAGCACCACCUUCUGUGGCUGCCACCCUCCGCCGACAACCACCGACGCCCCUCGCCACUACCACCUUGCGCCAACCACCGCGCCUUCGCCUACCCAGCCGCCCCUCUCCCUCGUCCUCAUCUCUCUCGCUCAGCUCCUCUCUCCUCUCGCCAAUUCGUUCUCUCUCUCCUCUUUCUGGUCUGCUGUUCGCACCGUCCCAACACCACCGGAGCACCGUCGAGCUACCACCUCACCCCGCGCCUCUCGUCGUGCCGUCACUUUUCUGCCUCGCCUCGCCUUCAGUCGCUGGAGCUUCGUUGUUCCUCCCCUGCUCUCUGGUUCACGCUAUUCUGUUGAAGCAGAGAUUAAAAAGGAAGAGAUAUUACAACGCCUUUCACCACGAUCAAGGUUGUUAAGCAGGAUUCCAGGUAUGCAUACGAAGAUGGGAUGACGUAGCAGUGAGGAUUAAAUUACUUUAAUGCGACUAUGACGGUUAUGAAAUACAAGUUUAUGAUCACUAGAU